rnacentral:rRNA from 1 species
CGUGUAGGCGGUCUGCUAAGUCUGAUGUGAAAGCCCGGGGCUCACCCCCGGAAGUGCAUUGGAAACUGACAGACUGGAGUCCCGGAGAGGAGGGUGGAAUUCCUGGUGUAGCGGUGAAAUGCGUAGAUAUCAGGAGGAACACCGGUGGCGAAGGCGGCCCUCUGGACGGUGACUGACGCUGAGACGCGAAAGCGUGGGGAGCAAACA